rnacentral:rRNA from 1 species
AACGAACGCUGGCGGCAUGCCUAACACAUGCAAGUCGAACGAGACCUUCGGGUCUAGUGGCGCACGGGUGCGUAACGCGUGGGAACCUGCCCUUAGGUUCGGAAUAACUCCCCGAAAGGGGUGCUAAUACCGGAUAAUGUCUUCGGACCAAAGAUUUAUCGCCUUUGGAUGGGCCCGCGUUGGAUUAGCUAGUUGGUAGGGUAAAAGCCUACCAAGGCGACGAUCCAUAGCUGGUAUGAGAGGAUGAUCAGCCACACUGGGACUGAGACACGGCCCAGACUCCUACGGGAGGCAGCAGUGGGGAAUAUUGGACAAUGGGCGAAAGCCUGAUCCAGCAAUGCCGCGUGAGUGAUGAAGGCCUUAGGGUUGUAAAGCUCUUUUACCCGGGAUGAUAAUGACAGUACCGGGAGAAUAAGCGCCGGCUAACUCCGUG